GAUGAACGCUGGCGGCGUGCCUAAUACAUGCAAGUCGAGCGAACAGACGAGGAGCUUGCUCCUCUGACGUUAGCGGCGGACGGGUGAGUAACACGUGGAUAACCUACCUAUAAGACUGGGAUAACUUCGGGAAACCGGAGCUGAUACCGGAUAAUAUAUUGAACCGCAUGGUUCAAUAGUGAAAGACGGUUUUGCUGUCACUUAUAGAUGGAUCCGCGCCGCAUUAGCUAGUUGGUAAGGUAACGGCUUGCCAAGGCGACGAUGCGUAGCCGACCUGAGAGGGUGAUCGGCCACACUGGAACUGAGACACGGUCCAGACUCCUACGGGAGGCAGCAGUAGGGAAUCUUCCGCAAUGGGCGAAAGCCUGACGGAGCAACGCCGCGUGAGUGAUGAAGGUCUUCGGAUCGUAAAACUCUGUUAUUAGGGAAGAACAAAUGUGUAAGUAACUAUGCACGUCUUGACGGUACCUAAUCAGAAAGCCACGGCUAACUACGUG
rnacentral:rRNA from 1 species